rnacentral:rRNA from 1 species
GGUAUGGGAUGAGCUUGCGUCCGAUUAGCUAGUUGGCGGGGCAACGGCCCACCAAGGCGACGAUCGGUAGCCGGCCUGAGAGGGCGAUCGGCCACAUUGGGACUGAGAUACGGCCCAGACUCCUACGGGAGGCAGCAGUAGGGAAUAUUGCACAAUGGGGGAAACCCUGAUGCAGCAACGCCACGUGUGGGAAGAAGCAUUUCGGUGUGUAAACCACUGUCGUGAGGGAAUAAGGCAUUGUUUCGGCGAUGUUGAAUGUACCUCGAAAGGAAGCACCGGCAAACUUCGUGCCAGCAGCCGCGGUAAUACGAGGGGUGCAAGCGUUGUUCGGAAUCACUGGGCGUAAAGGGAGCGUAGGCGGAGAUGCAAGCAGCCUGUACAAUACCGGGGCCCAACCCCGGACCUGCAGACUGGACUGUGUCUCUUGGAUAGUUCAGGGGCAGGC